GGUUGUGGCUCAAUGGUGGAGCGCUUGCCUGGUAUGUGUGGGGCACUGGGUUCAAUUCUCGGCACCA
rnacentral:tRNA from 1 species